GACGAACGCUGGCGGCGUGCUUAACACAUGCAAGUCGAACGGAAAGGCCCUGCUUUUGUGGGGUGCUCGAGUGGCGAACGGGUGAGUAACACGUGAGUAACCUGCCCUUGACUUUGGGAUAACUUCAGGAAACUGGGGCUAAUACCGGAUAGGAGCUCCUGCUGCAUGGUGGGGGUUGGAAAGUUUCGGCGGUUGGGGAUGGACUCGCGGCUUAUCAGCUUGUUGGUGGGGUAGUGGCUUACCAAGGCUUUGACGGGUAGCCGGCCUGAGAGGGUGACCGGCCACAUUGGGACUGAGAUACGGCCCAGACGCCUACGGGAGGCAGCAGUGGAGAAUAUUGCACAAUGGGCGGAGGCCUGAUGCAGCAACGCCGCGUGCGGGAUGACGGCCUUCGGGUUGUAAACCGCUUUCGCCUGUGACGAAGCGUGAGUGACGGUAAUGGGUAAAGAAGCACCGGCUAACUACGUG
rnacentral:rRNA from 1 species